AUACCAACAGAACGCACGGUAUAACCGGCAACACGGAAGCCAUCUGCCCUGAAGACAUCUGCAUGCAAACAGAUGACUAGCAGAAUAUCUGUCAGGAAAGCCAGAAGAACUCAGUUUUGGAAGUACAGGAUGAAUACCGUAGACUGGAAGGAGAGCACUGGCCUUGGUCAAAUGGACUUCAGAGAGAAGAAAAGCUGUCUUGCACAUCAGAUGCAGGCAAUUUCACAAUGCAGAGGAAAUACUGUUUGGCUUGUACUUUCCAGUGUGCAUUUCCUAUUUUUAAAGAAUGGAGCCUGAAGGAUGGAGGUUGCAGAUGGAGAACACUUUUUGGAUGCUGUUCACAGGAGGUCCAACAAUGGAAGCCAAAGAGUGGUGGCUGAAAAAGUAGAUGCCAUUUUUUGUGUGAGGAGGAAUGGAAGCUGAACAAUGACAGCUGGAAAACUGGAGGCUAAAGAAUGGAAAUCACAGGAGGGAGGGCAUCUUUUGGAAACCAUUUGUUGGAGGCCUGACCAUGGAAGCCAAAGAAUGGCUGAAGGACUGAAGGAUAAAAUGGACUCCACGCCCAAAUUGAAGAUUUUUGUGAUGUUGCUUUCUCUGGCUACUUUCACAGCCAUGGUGAUAAUGAAUGCUGGAAAUGCCACUGGGAUUUUCAAAGGUCUGUUCCGGACAACGCCUGGCAACAUCUCAGAGAAGUACAGCACCGACUUCACACCGGCUGGCUGGACUUUCCUCAUCUGGAAUGUCAUCUAUGCCUGGCAAUUGGCAUGGCUCCUGUAUGCACUGUCAGGGAUUUGCCGAAGAAAUGAACUUGGAUUUUUCUUCCUGAAGCCAGACUUGCUGCCAAUACCUUUUUACAUGGCAUGGAUUCUGAAUAAUGGCCUCAAUGUCGGAUGGCUGUUUCUAUGGGACAGAGAAUACCUCCUUCCAGCCCUGCUGUUGCUUGCAGCCCUUACUUUUACCACAGGUGCUGCUCUCUUCAUUUCACACAGAGCCUUGAGUAUCCAUUCCACAUGGUUCAUGAAGGGUCACCAAGCUGACCUCUGGCUCAUCCGGAUCCUGGUGCAGAAUGGGCUGGCACUGUAUACCACAUGGACCACCAUCGCCACUCUGCUGAACUUUGCUGUUGUGUUGAUCUACAAGUGGGAUGUGUCCAAUGAGACAGCAACAACUGCCUCUCUGAGCAUCCUUACCCUCAUACUUGUCAUGUGGUUCUGUCAGGAGAACUUCUUUCUUGAUAAGUACGUCCGUUAUAACCUCACGAUCUACCCAGUGAUCAUAAUAGCUCUGACUGGCAGCAUGUGCAAGGACUUCUCAGUUUCCUCCCCAACCACCAACGGCGUUUUUAUAGUUGUACUGCUGGCACUGACUUGUUUCAUCUUUGCUGUCCGGUUGGCAUUAGUCAUAUGGAAACACAGUAAUGAACCACUGGAAGCAUCAACACCACCACAGCCAUCAAGCACAGUGGCCUGA
rnacentral:lncRNA from 1 species